rnacentral:lncRNA from 1 species
AAUGAAGUGUUAAAACUCAAGGUAAAGGCCGUUUCAGCUCCUUCACAUGGGAUCAAUAUGUUGUGCUCUUGUUAAAUUGACUGUUAGCUCCGAUAAAUGAGUCAAUGUUUUUCCUUCUUGUCUCUCCAAUGUUUGUAGACGAAUUCCAAGACCUAUGAUUCCCAUACAUAUUUCAACAGUUAUCUCAAAAGAUUAUAUAUUGUAUAUUACGCCUCUGUCUACGUGACAGGUUACAUGAUGGCUAGCUAAUCAAAAAGUCAUGCAAUAACCUAUUUACCUAGAAGAUGGGGGCUAUCUAUAGUGGCCUCAAUAACCUACGGUUUUGAGGAGUAAAGACCUCGUGCGAUGAUGCGGGCUAGACCGACAAGUCUGUAGGAGAGACGAUGAUGUCGACGACCCUCUCUUCUACAUAUCAAUGUCCGGCUCCUUUUCUUAAACUUCAAAAUGCCAAAGAUUGUGCCUUACCACGACAAAGGUGACACUAUGGACCAUCUUGAUGUCUACAAGAUUCAAAUGAACCUAAGGUAAGCAAGCUCAAUAGCAAAAUGUAAAGCCUUUCACGUGACCUUAGCUGAGAGGAAAAGCAUCUACAGUUGACCCAAAUUAAAGAGGCAGUUUUACAACGUGUUUAUUUCUAUGAAGGUCGAAUCUACUCACGUUUUUCAAAUUCAAAGGGAUCAAAUAAGAAAUGGUACUCUAAAUUAUAGAACUAUAGCUUUUUGCCAACCUAACACUUCUCCUAUCCAAGGUUAUCGAGGGUACCUAACCUUGACUAUGUUAUAUGGGCCUAUGGUCUCCGAGAUGGUUAAGGUCUGAAGCCUUGUGCCUUAAGACAACUAUAAUCGACAUUUUGAGCCAUGUGCAAUGCAAUUGAUGUAACAUCUUUAUAAAAACAGCUAGAAGUCAAAUUUCUUAGUUCCCGUGUAAGAUAGCUUAUGGGGGCUCACAUGCCUAUUAUGGAUAGGAUGUGAUAUUUUGGACUUUAUAUGUGAACAUCUGGGAUGAUGCCGUAUGUCAAGCAUAUUUAUUUUUCUGUAAAUACUCACAGUUGGCGAGAUAUGAACAUAAUCAAG